UCACAUGAUGAGCGAUAACAUCAGAAGUAUUACCUUUAACACUGGAGAAAACCUUGGCUUUACACACAGCUAAACGAAGAGGCAUUAAAUAACAACAGAACCCUCUUCCUCAAUAAUCCAUGAGUGGUGAACAGCAGAAAAACAUUCUGCUAUGGCAGAAUCCUCACUAUGUGAACAUGCCACCUGCAGUCCAGUACAAUUGUGGGGCUUCACAAAACUUACCAUUUUGUCAGUGCCAAUGGUACUUAAGAAAAAUGAAAUCCAUGGAAGGUUCUAUAGACUUUAAAGAUAUCCCCCUGGAAACUUAAAGUGUGCUGACAAAGACAUCCACUGAGGACAGAGACAGCAGUCCAAUGAUGAGGAUCAACACAAUGUCAAGUGUCAGGUCAACACUUU